rnacentral:tRNA from 1 species
UGCCCCAUGGCUGAGUUGGUUACAGCGUCCGACUGUUAUUGAUGCGAUCGGAAGGUCGUGAGUUCGAGCCUCACUGGGGCAG